rnacentral:rRNA from 1 species
UACGGAGGGUGCAAGCGUUAUCCGGAUUUACUGGGUUUAAAGGGUGUGUAGGCGGGCUUUUAAGUCAGUGGUGAAAUCUCCGGGCUCAACCCGGAAACUGCCAUUGAUACUAUUAGUCUUGAAUUUUGUUGAGGUAGGCGGAAUAAGUCAUGUAGCGGUGAAAUGCAUAGAUAUGACUUAGAACACCAAUUGCGAAGGCAGCUUGCUGGGCAGUAGCUGACACUGAGGCGCGACAGCGUGGGGAGCAAACAGG